GAUGAACGCUGGCGGCGUGCCUAACACAUGCAAGUCGAGCGAGAUAAAUGUGAGUGGAGACUUCGGUCAAAGCAAUCAUUUUGAAAGCGGCGGACGGGUGAGUAACGCGUGAGCAAUCUGCCCCAUACAAAGGGAUACCCACUGGAAACGGUGAUUAAUACCUUAUAAGACCACGAAGUCGCCUGGCUCAGUGGCCAAAGAUUUAUCGGUAUGGGAUGAGCUCGCGUCUGAUUAGCUAGUUGGUGAGGUAAUGGCUCACCAAGGCGACGAUCAGUAGCCGACCUGGGAGGGUGGACGGCCACACUGGAACUGAGACACGGUCCAGACUCCUACGGGAGGCAGCAGUGGGGAAUAUUGCACAAUGGGCGCAAGCCUGAUGCAGCAACGCCGCGUGAAUGAUGAAGGCCUUCGGGUCGUAAAGUUCUGUCCUAAGGGAAGAAUACAGUGACGGUACCUUAGGAGGAAGCCCCGGCUAACUACGUGCCAGCCGCCGCCGUAA
rnacentral:rRNA from 1 species